AGCAGAUCUGCCAAAGCAUUAAACACCAUUUCUUCUUCUUAGGCUAAUUUUUCCCACUGAAGUGAUUGGGAAACCCCUUUCCCUGCAAUCUAUUAGUAAGGUACUUUAAACGUCUGGUAGAAGUAACUCAUGCAGACAGCAGGGAAUUAGUGUGACGUCAUGGAAGAAAUCUCGGGCAUAAUGAAGGGGUGAUAGUAUAGUGCUUAAUUACAUUAUCCAACUGCCAGAUCACAGCUCUGAACUUUGAGGCCAUUUCCUAGGUAAAAUGCUAUUGCGCAAUAACUGUUUGUUUUCUUUUGAGUUGAAAAUAGUAUGAGGAACACCUGCAAUCUGUCUUGGUUUAAACUUUUUAGAUUACAUUUAUUUAUUGCAUUGUGUUCAGAAGACAACCUUUGAGAGUCCGUUCUUUCCUCCUACCAUGUGGGUCCUGAAUAUCAAACUCAGGUUGUCAGGCUUGGCAUCAAGUACCUUUACCCACUGAGCCAUCUCUUAGAGAUAUAUCUUGAUUUUUAAAAGAAAAGCUAUGUAUGCAAGGCAAAUAAAUCAUUUAUCUUUUCUUACCACUGCUAUUCCACAUAGAUGGUCUCAUGCAUAUUUUGCUGCCAAGGACGAUGUAUUUAUUACCUUAUUCCCCCUCUUUUAGCCCCCUUCAUCCAGUCCCACUUGUGGGCGAGUCUCCCCUCCACAAUCCUAUCUUUCUUCCUCCUCCUACGUGCAGUGAUUCUAGGCAUUCAGCAAACAUGAUUUCCACUCUCUUUGCAAUUCCACAUGACUGUUACCUGUGUUUUCAGUCAACAAGAAAUCAAGGAAGCAACCUUUCUUUUUGCUGAUAGUGACAUACUGCUUGGAGUAUUGACUCUUUAGAGUGGACUCCAGACCUUCAUAUGACAACAGCACUUUUAGUGGUGGAAUGACAGCUGCAGUGGGUGGGGUCAAUGUUAAGGAGUUCUUUCCAGAACUUCAUCCCAGCACUCAGUCUCACAGCCUAUGUUUCUCAAUUGCCCUCACUAUAAAAGAGAAUGUAUCGCUUAAACACACAGGAUAAAAUAGCUAGAUUCUCUCCACAAGUUACUUGGGAGCCAGAAAGAGUAACAAACAGCAAGAGGCAACCUUAGAUUUCAGUGAUUCUAGAAGCCUGAGAUUCACCAUGGAGCAGUGGGGGAUUCUUUCAGCCUAAACUUACAUUCUAGGGCAUGGUAAGCACUCCAACUUGUGCCUGAGUGCAGAGAAGACCAGGAUCUGUAUGUUCUACUCCUACGCUCUCCUUCUUAGGGAAUUCCCCUGUUCUCCACUUCCCUCAUAUUGCCCUUGUCCUUAUCUGCAGCACACGGAGAAGGACUCCUCACUCCAGGCCCAUGCCAAUAUGAACUCUUCCCAGGGGUCAGAUACAUUUAACUCCAUAUUAUAAUUCUAGAUAAGUCCAUAGAUUAAGUUUUUUAAAGUAAACCUAGAAUUGAACUUAUUUUCUAAAAAUAUUGUGGGACUGGAGAGAUGGUUCAGCAGUUAGGAGCACUGGCUGCUCUUUUAGAGAACCCAGGUUUGAUUCCCAGUAUCCACACCGGAGCUCACAGUUAUCUAUAAUGCCAGUUCCAAGGGAUUAGACACCUUCUUCUAACCUCUACAGGUACCAGGCACACAAGUGGUACACAGACAUAUAUGUAGGCAAAACAACCAUCCACAUAAAACCUAUAGCUGGAGAGUAAAAACACUUGCCUAACAUAUGCAAGGCCAUGAGUUCAAUUAUCAGCAUCUCAAAGCAAAACAUACAGCACAAAAAAGUGGGGCCUGAGGGGUAUGACUGUAGCAGAGUACUACUUUGCAUGGGAGGAGACCAGGGUUUGACUUUCAAUAUCUAAAUAAAUAAGGAAAAUAAAUGAUUAAAUAAAACAAAGCCUCAUUCUAUUAUCUAGUUUAAAUUCUGCCUGAAAGGUUUAAAUUUAUUGUAACCAAUGCACGUUUCAAGGAACUAUGGUAUUUUUCUUUUGUGCCUGAAACCGUGUAGUGGGUAAAAUCCAUUCUGCUCGAUCAAAAAAGAUUUCUCAGUCACUGUCCUGGUCACUGGCGUGCUUGAAAGGGGAGCCAAGACUCUUAGGGGACCCCAACAGUACUUGCUAUUAAGAGGGUAGAAGUUCAUGAGAAUCUGGGCUCCCACUCCCAAGGAGAAAUUCACAAAGACACUCACCCCCCACUUACAACCAUUAGCUUGAGCCGUUCUCUGCCUCCAUAGCCCUAACCUUGCAGGUCUGUCACUACCUGGUAAUUCCAGGUCUUGGGAGGUGGUUUUUUUUUUUUUUUUUUCCCUAGCAAUGUGCAAUUCAAGCCCCACAGCAAUCCUAUACAUGCUUGCAGUUCAAGCCCCACAGCAAUUCUCUAGCACUCCCAGUGAAGCACACAAGCCUCCUUCGUCCGUUCAGCAAGCGCAGUUCAGUUCACGAAGGUACUAAUUGGGAUCGGCCUAUGCUGCCGAAUCCAGUCCAAGUCCGUUUCUUGCAUAUGAAAGCCUCUUAAAGUAAUAUGUAUUAGUUAAUCCACGGAGAGCUUCAAAUGCAUGGCCAUUUAUGUGCUUGUCCAGUUGCUCCCUGCCAAUGAGUGAGUGGCCUGUUAGCAGGCAUAAGUAACUUAUCAAGCUUUUUAGAAAGCUAAUUUCGGAUAUUGUUUGUUGCAAAAACAAACAAUUGAAAACACUUUUAAUGACUAGCACAAGGCAUUAUUUGGCUUUUUAGAUUUUGGUAGCAAACUGUGUUUGGAGCUGAAGGAUACUACUAUGCUUGGCAAAAUAAACUUGCCCUGGAUAACAUAUAUUCAACUCUUUCCAAGUGUGCCAUAAAAAUCCAUAAAGAGCAGGGUUUAUCAAAUAAAUACACAAGCCUGCCUCCCUGGGAACUUAGUGCUAGCACAAAGACUAUUUGUCUAUGAAGGACUCACAAAGACAGAAUAAAAGACUUUAUGCUUGUUUUUGUCCAAAAUCAUCAAGGAGAUGGCAAUAUACUUGGCAGCUGAAAACAAGACUAUUUCUAUACAUUUUUUUUGAAUUGGCUAUGAUAUAACAGGCAUUAUUGCCUUUCUUAACAGUUAUCUCAGAAGUAGUAAGAGCGCAAACUAGUCAGAUUUGUGAUCGAGUUAGCGCUGACCUAGAUAGGCAGGCGUGUGGGCCGUCUUUAGGAUAACAGCUCAGUUAAAUUCAGGGCCAAACUCUUAUCAUUUAAGAGAUCCAGGCUUGCUGAUAAAAGUCUUAAAGCCAUACCAAAAACAAACAAGCAAAAACAAAGAUUAAUAACUUUAAAACUCCCAACUUUCCAAGUACAGAAAGUUUGAAAGAACCCAAUGAUUGAAAUAAACACUCAUACUCUUAAACAGAAUAUUUGAGAUUAAAAUACUGACGUGUGUGUGUGUGUGUGUGUGUGUGUGUGUGUGUGUGUGUGUGUGUAAUUGAACGAGAUAGUAAAAACACAUAAACCUAGGUCUUAAGACAAUGAUUUAAGGAUCUGCUACACCAGUGGUGGAUAUCAUCAUAAAAUGAAUCAGACAUUUCCCCAAAAUACGGCCUACUGUGCUUAAGAUCGCCUAAAUGCAGUUAAAUAUGUUGGAUAAAUAAGAUUGACAAUAUGUCAGUCUAUUGAAUAUUAUCUUUUUAACAUAAACUAUAUAACUCUCCAAAAUCUACUUCUGUAUUGUGAGAACACUACCAGCAAUGCACAAAGAAAGCUCAGGAAGAUUUUUAAAAAUUAAAAUUAAUUUUAAAAACCUCAUAUGCAUGAAAUUAACUCAUGUAUAAUAUAUGAGGCCUCUGUGGUGGUGAGACAUAUUAACCAAUCUUACUGGGUUUUGGUCAACUUAGUUCAGUUUCUAAUGACCUUUGUAGGCAAUCACCCUGCUGCUCUUUUCGCUGCUUUUAGGCAUUAAGAAAGAAAGCAAAGUUAAGUAAUAGAUAACAUGGAAAUUUGCCACAAAAAUAAGAAAGGCAAGAAAGAAACUCAGCUUGACAAUUUGUGGGCUGAGCAUAUGAUUAAAAUUACAUGCUAUUGACUUAAAUCAAAUUGUCUUAACUGAUUUUUUAAAUCUUCUACUAAUAUUUACUUAGUGGAAUCCUAUGAAAGCAAAAAUUUCUUCCAGUAUAUUUGUCUCACUUUAUGACACAGAGAAUAUUUCCAAGUUCAAAUGACAAUAAAUCCAGCAAAAAGAUCACAAAUUAGAAUGACCAACACGUUCUGCCAUAUGCACCAGGCUACAGAUCCUAUGAAAGCUGUGAAAAAAUGGAAACAUCUGGGGAAAUUAUUUUAACAAAAUUUUUAUGAAUGUCUUCUGCUAUUAGCAACUGCUUCAUUAUCUGAAAAGGAAAUGGAAUCACUGACACUUAUAUAUGUUUUCACAGUGGUGCCUUUACAUAGCUUCUCUGCACAGGAGGAUCGUAACAAGGCCGAUGACAAAAUAUCCUUAUUUUCUGAGAGUUACAGGUAAAAAAAAAAAACUAUUAUUUGUUGAAAUAUGUAAAACUUACUAACUGAAAACAGUCACAUACUCAGUGAUGCAUUUCUACAUCAAAAAUUUAAAGUCACACGUUCUUCUCACAUAUGAAUUUUAAAUGUCAAAGGGAUUUUGAAAUUAAUACUUUUUAAAUGUAAUUUGGGAUUUUUUAAAAAUAAAAGUGAUUCUGAAAAAUGUAGCAUCAUGAACAUGAAGGAAACCAGUCCCUCUAGAGGAAAUAUUAUAUUUAAUUAUUAAAAAUAGUUAUCACCAAAGUGUUAAAGUAGUCUUAAAUUCAAUAAAAAAUAUGAAGUUUCUGGACAUUUUAGUUCUAUUUUUUAAAGAACUUAUAUUUUUUUAAAAUAUAAAAGAAUGAGGGACCGAUAUCUAAAAAUUCUUUGGCCUGGAGUUCUGCAGAACUUUAGCCUUCACUGCAGCCAUCGUCCUACCGCAGUGAUAAGAAUACGAAACUUUUACACUUAAAAAACUUUUUUUUCUUAAAAAUAAAACUGUCUUUUUUUUCUUCUAGUGAGCUGCAAAAGAUUGAGAUGACCACCAGUUGCUUCUUAUUGAAGCUGAAUCUUUUGGAACAUCUCUCCAAAUGUUCUAAGUAUCUAUGAGUGUUUCUAUGAAACUUUCGAGAGCUAUCUCUUUGAGAAGCCAUAGAAAAUGUCAGUUCCUACACUAGCCAGGUUUUCUAAAUCAUAUAGCACCCGGAGUUAUGGUUUCAGUCAGUAAUUGAUCACUCAGCAUGUACAGGAAGACUCUACAGAAUACCUGGUAUCUGUGGAAGAUCUGCCCAAGUCCAAGACUUAAGUUACUCAUUUAAUAACUCCGGUUAACAAUUUGCUUCGUGCCUGAUAAUAAAGAGUUGACAUUACAAUAAUGAACUUCAAAAUCAAGAGGCUUUCCAACUGUUAGCUAUCCUACAACUUGGUUCAUCGUUGUUUUUUUUUUUUUCUCUCCCUCAAAUGAUCAUUUAAUUUUACAGUUUUGUCCUUCAUCCUUCUAAGAAGAAAAAACUUCAGCUUAGUCUUGACAGAAGACUGAACUCUUUUUUUUUUUUUUUACUCCUGAUGUAAGUGACACUACUCUCCCUACCGUUAGCUUCAGAAGGGAAGCAGAUUUCUUACUGUACAACAAGAACACAGUAAAACCAUCCUGAUACGUACGAACUUGGGGGCAGUUUGGCCACCUCACAACACGCUCCAACGAAACGCGAUGACGGUGGGGCCACUCACCUAAGCAAUGGGAGUUAAGAAGAAUUUAGAGCUGCUGCCUUCUGAUCCCCAGCAGAGGUCCAGGCCCCUUCUUGACCUCCCCGCGUCCCUUAUAUAAAAGCAGCCCUGGCUACUCCCAGUUACAGCCUCCUCACCUUAGGCUCCUCCCCAAUCCCAAGCCAUAAAGCACCGGAGCUACACACCCAC
ensembl:lncRNA